AGAGAGCAGGUAUAUCAGUAGAGGUGGGUGACAGAGCAGGUAUAUCAGUAGAGAGACAGAGAGCAGGUAUAUCAGUAGAGAGAGAGAGAGCAGGUAUAUCAGUAGAGAUGGGUGACAGAGAGCAGGUAUAUCAGUAGAGAUGGGUGACAGAGCAGGUAUAUCAGUAGAGAGACAGAGAGCAGGUAUAUCAGUGGAGAUGGGUGACAGAGAGCAGGUAUAUCAGUAGAGUGACAGAGAGCAGGUAUAUCAGUAGAGAGAGAGAGAGCAGGUAUAUCAGUAGAGAGAGAGAGAGCAGGUAUAUCAGUAGAGAUGGGUGACAGAGAGCAGGUAUAUCAGUAGAGAGACAGAGAGCAGGUAUAUCAGUAGAGAUGGGUGACAGAGAGCAGGUAUAUCAGUAGAGUGACAGAGAGCAGGUAUAUCAGUGGAGAGACAGAGAGCAGAUAUAUCAGUAGAGAUGGGUGACAGAGAGCAGGUAUAUCAGUAGAGAGACAGAGAGCAGGUAUAUCAGUAGAGUGACAGAGAGCAGGUAUAUCAGUAGAGAUGGGUGACAG